GAUGAACGCUGGCGGCGUGCCUAAUACAUGCAAGUCGAGCGAACGGACGAGAAGCUUGCUUCUCUGAUGUUAGCGGCGGACGGGUGAGUAACACGUGGAUAACCUACCUAUAAGACUGGGAUAACUUCGGGAAGCCGGAGCUAAUACCGGAUAAUAUUUUGAACCGCAUGGUUCAAAAGUGAAAGACGGUCUUGCUGUCACUUAUAGAUGGAUCCGCGCUGCAUUAGCUAGUUGGUAAGGUAACGGCUUACCAAGGCAACGAUGCAUAGCCGACCUGAGAGGGUGAUCGGCCACACUGGAACUGAGACACGGUCCAGACUCCUACGGGAGGCAGCAGUAGGGAAUCCUCCGCAAUGGGCGAAAGCCUGACGGAGCAACGCCGCGUGAGUGAUGAAGGUCUUCGGAUCGUAAAACUCUGUUAUUAGGGAAGAACAUAUGUGCAAGUAACUGUGCACAUCUUGACGGUACCUAAUCAGAAAGCCACGGCUAACUACGUG
rnacentral:rRNA from 1 species